UGGUGAGGCUGCACAUUGAACACUGUGUCCAGUUUUGGACCCUUCACUACAAGAAAAACAUUGAGGUGUUGGAGCACAUCCAAAGAAGGGCAGUGAAGCUGACAUCGGAGCACUUACAUGUCAUUUGGUGGUCUUACAUCUAGCUGUGCCAAACACCAGGUGCUUCAGAAGAAGUUGUUCCAGAUCACACUUUGCUAAAUUCCAUGAGUCAGCAUGGGAGUAUUUGAUGCUUAACAGCACAACAGGCAAAGAAGGAGGCCAAGAAAAUGAUGAGACAGUAAAGUUUUACCCUGGAUGCUUUUCAGUUCACACAUUACCUGAUGCAGGACUAAAUGACUUCCUGACCGGUGAUACCCCUCCUACAUAGAAGGUAGGUCUGUGUGUGAGAAUUAAGGCACAUGCACA